GACGAACGCUGGCGGCGUGCUUAACACAUGCAAGUCGAACGAUGAAGGAGAGCUUGCUCUCCGGAUUAGUGGCGAACGGGUGAGUAACACGUGACUAACCUGCCCCUUUCUCUGGGAUAACGCUCCGAAAGGAGUGCUAAUACCGGAUACGAACUCUGAACACAUGUUCGGAGUUGGAAAGUUUUUCGGAAAGGGAUGGAGUCGCGGCCUAUCAGCUUGUUGGUGAGGUAACGGCUCACCAAGGCGACGACGGGUAGCCGGCCUGAGAGGGCGACCCGCCACCCUCGGACUGAGACACGGCCCAGACUCCUACGGGAGGCAGCAGUGGGGAAUAUUGCACAAUGGGCGAGAGCCUGAUGCAGCGACGCCGCGUGAGGGAUGAAGGUCUUCGGAUUGUAAACCUCUUUCAGUAGGGACGAAGCGAAAGUGGCGGUACCUAAAGAAGAAGCACCGGCUAACUACGUGCCAGCCGCCGCGGUAA
rnacentral:rRNA from 1 species